ensembl:lncRNA
GGAGGGGGAAGGAGUGAGUACAGCAAGACACACUGCAUUAAGGGGUAUUAAAAAGACGGAAAAGGCCGUGUUAGGAACUUAUGCGGGGGGGGGGUGUCUUCGAAAUUGACAUGCUAUGCCUGUCCUUUACGGAUUCACACAUUUCGUUCUCCUCGCCUUGUGCACGAUGGGAUUCGGGGCUUCAACUUCUCACCAGCCUUGGCAGCCGACUGGGUUAUGCUUGGGCCAGCGACUGUCCCUCAGUCAACCUCCCUCGCAGGGUUCUUGUGAGGAGAGAAGAAGUGGAGGCGAAUAAAGCUUGGACUUCGAGUUCUUUGGAAGAAAGGCAGGAUCUAAGCGGAAAACCCGAAAGAACAUCUUCCCACCUCCACCCACCUCAGGGAAGGAAUCAGGAGGAGACGGCAGGAUUCUGCAGCUCGCGAUCGCUAUCAACAUNUCAUACACGUCAGAGUGUGCGAUCGGGAGGAAGAAAGCGAGCGAGCGAGAGUGACGCGAGCGAGAUCACGGGCCCUUUGCAGAUUUAAUGUAGUGACAAUAAUUGCCUGUUUGCUAUCGGCGCACAAGGGAGCGCAGCGCAGCCCAUUGUUUCCGAUCCUAGAAACCUAUUAACGAAUCUCUUUUCCCAACAAAGAUUCUAACCCCACCCACCUAUUCCACUCUGCCCAAUGAAAAGCAGAAUUGGGGGGAUGAGGAGGGGUACGAAUGUUAAAAGCUCGAUCAUUCCAAGGAUCUUACCCCCCCCCCGCUAGCAUUAAAAAAAAAAAGAAAAUGAGAAAUGUCAGCCUUUAUUCCUUGUCACAAUCAGCGCGGGGCGGGAUCUGUGUAACGAUCAUUCAGUAUUAACAUAACCCAAGAUAGCAGAAACGAGCAACAAGUCUGCUGAUUCAGGGUCUCCGGUCAUUGCUUUUUUCUGCGACCUCUAGCGGCGGAAACGUGUUUAGCACCUCACCGCAUCCCUACGCCUCUCCAAACUAAAAGCUGUUUGGGCGGGGGGGGGGGGUUGGUUGGUUGGUCACUUUGGGCUCAGGAUUGUAGGAGUCUGUUCCUCACACGCCGUAUACCGCACAUUGAUGACUUUAGUGAAACAAAUGGAGGAAACUCCCCUCCUAUAACUGUCGAUUGUANAGUCAACAUGCCAUUCAUUCUUGAAUGAUCAAUAAUGAUGAAUUUAAUUAGGUUGCCAUGUAUUUCAGCAGACAUUGUCUGUAUUAUAAACUACACUUCUGAAAUGCCUUCUUCUAUGCAGCUAUUGAAGGCAUAAGAACUCUGACUUGCAUUCCAUAUGGCAACCCUAUGCAUAGAGCUUUUAGUAAAGGCUCACGUGUAAGUUAUCUGAGCAGUCUUUGCCACAGCCUUGUCAUUACCAUUACAAAACAAAUACCAAUACAAUUUAAGGGUGAGAGUGUCCUUGUGCCUAAGUUGCAUGCAAUCCUUCCAGAUUUGCCAUAGGAUUAUCUGGAUUAUCUUCCAGAUAAUUGGGGGCAGAUUGUCUUUGCCACAGAGAGCAGAAGAAGUGAUUUUGGCAUUAGUGCUAUUGGGGCUCUGGCAAUUGCCAGAGAUGGCUGCCAGUGGAUUAGAUUUGGGUUCUUGAUCUUGCCAUUACUCAGCUGACAGCUGUAUUACUUUUUUAUUUCUUUCUAAGAAAGGCUGAUGAGUUUUAACCAUCAGACGAAAUGCAUCAUUUCCUCUCUAGGCAGUCUUUAUGCUAAAAAGGUCUUGACAGAAGGGGAAUAACAGGAAUUGAGCAAUCUGAUCCCAUGAAUUUUACUCAGUAGUAUGCUCUAAUAAGUGUAUGCAAUCUUAGUGAUAAGGACUGAUAUCUGUUGUUCUGUUACACUGUCAUGUGUAUAGUGAAAUUUGAAGCAGGUUUAUUAUGCCACAAUUCAACUAUUUCCUUUAGCAAACCAACAAGUUCUGUUUAUCACAUGUGCUGGUAGAUGCAGAUUCUUCUGAUCUUUCCUGUGGCUUAGUUUUGUAGCACUAGAUGUAAGAAAGACCAUUAGGUUUUUCUUUCUUAAUUUUUUUAUUUUAUUAAUUUAAUUUCAUCAGUUGAUUAAGUUUUUCUGUAGCUAUGUGUGCUAUUUUACUUCCUUUAUCAUUGUGCAAUUCUUAUGGUGAUCUUUGAUCAAAAUAAAGAAG